UUGCAUAUAAUCUACAUAUACAUUCCCUGUGUGCUUGUGGGGAUAUAAAUAUGAGUGAGUGCAGGCAGGGGCUCAGUGAUCUGUAUCAGGCCUGUGUGCAGUGAUCAGUAUGGUGUCCCACAGCUGCUUGCUGCCUAUACUCAUGCUCUGGCUUCAGGGUUCCUAUGGGCAGGUUGUACUGACUCAGUCUCCAGAUUAUGUCUCUGUGUCACCAGGAGAAACUGUCACCCUCACAUGUAAAGCCAGUAGCAGUGUUCACACCAGCUACUUGCACUGGUACCAACAGAAAUCAGGGCAGGCACCAAAGCUGCUGAUCUAUUCCGCAAGCACCAGAUACACAGGGACCCCAGAGCGGUUCAGCGGCAGUGGAUAUGGAACUGAUUUCACUCUUACAAUCAGCAGAAUGGAAGCAGAAGAUGCAGCAGAUUAUUACUGUCAGUAUUAUUACAGUUUACCUUUCACACAGUGA